GUCAGAUUGGAAUGGCUGGAUUUGUUCUCCCUGGAAGCAGAGGAGUGGGAUUUCAUAUUGGCCUCGACUACUUUUCCCGAUCUGCAUCUUCAGUCUCUGAGGUCGUAAACUGAAACAGAUGCAGACUGUGGAAGCGAACACAUCCUGUCAAGGGGAUGAAGCUUCUGGGAGAGGAAGAGCUGUAGCUGGGAUGGAAUAGGUCAAAGAAGGACAUGGAGUAUCUGUGGAGCAUUCACCAUAACGGCACCACAAUGGAUGAAGGACUUCUUCAUGAGUUUCAGGAUCUUGUUCCGGUGGGAUUUCAUCUUAGCCUUGUCUGACUUUGCUGGACUAAAUCUUCCACAUUAAACCUCUGAAGAGAUACAGGUGUGGAGAAUGUGGAGACUUCUGGAGGGGAAGGAAGAAACCUGCACAAAAUGGAGAGAUUCCUAGAAAGAGAAUGCUAGUAAAGGGACAUGCCUAAAGGAAACUGUGGUCUCUGGCUAACUGGGAAAGUGGGCCAAGGAAUGGCAUGUGGAUUGUAACUGGGACAAAUGUGACAUGAUAGAUUUUGGGAAGUUAAACCAGCACAAAACAUACAGAACGAAUGCUAGGUCCGAGAGAAACAGGGGCUUUCACUGUACGAGCUAGUGAUGGAACCGUGAGUGACCAUUCCAUGAUAAAAACCCAAGACAGCAGCUCUCAACUGCGAUUGACCCGAUGCUCCUCAGAUCAGUCCCAUCCACCUCUUGGUGCCAACUGGACAGCCUCAGCCAUUCCCCUUCAAGGACUGAGUGAGGCAUAGAGAUGGAGUGAAACCAUCUCUCUCACAUCAGGACCAUUUCUAUCCUUUCUAUUCCAGGAUCGGAAGGUUCACCCUUCCACCUCUAAAUCUGU